rnacentral:rRNA from 1 species
GAUGAACGCUGGCGGCGUGCCUAAUACAUGCAAGUCGAACGCAUUGAGAGAAGUGCUUGCACUUUUCAAUUUGAGUGGCGAACGGGUGAGUAACACGUUGGCAACCUACCUGAUAGCGGGGGAUAACGAGUGGAAACAUUCGCUAAUACCGCAUAACAAUAGAGAAGGCAUCUUCUUUAUUUAAAAGGCGCUUUCAAGCGUCACUAUCAGAUGGGCCCGCGGUGCAUUAGUUAGUUGGUGGGGUGAAGGCCUACCAAGACGAUGAUGCAUAGCCGAGUUGAGAGACUGAUCGGCCAAAUUGGGACUGAGAUACGGUCCAAACUCCUACGGGAGGCUGCAGUAGGGAAUCUUCCACAAUGGACGAAAGUCUGAUGGAGCAACGCCGCGUGUGUGAUGAAGGCUUUCGGGUCGUAAAGCACUGUUGUAUGGGAAGAAAUGCUAGGCUAGGAAAUGAGCUUAGUUUGACGGUACCAUACCAGAAAGGGACGGCUAAAUACGUGCCAGCCGCCGCCGUAA